UCGGAGGCGAAGAAGGACGUGACAAGCUGCGAUAAGCCGCGCUAAGGAGCAAAUAUCCCGUGAAGCGCGGAUUUCCGAAUGGGGCAACCCACCUGCGUUAAGCAGGUACCAUCCCAAGGAUGGGGCAAACCCGGGGAACUGAAACAUCUCAGUACCCGGAGGAAGAGAAAACAAAAGUGAUUGCGCAAGUAGUGGCGAGCGAACGCGCAGGAGCCCAAACCGGCGAUGUGGCAACGCAUCCGCCGGGGUUGAAGGACCGUCAAUAAAGCGACAUGCGAAGAUCAGGAGAAGGUGUUGGAAAGCACCCCCGCAGAAGGUGAAAGGCCUGUAACCGAAGAUCCGGCGUAUGAGCGAGACGGCACCUGAGUAGUGCGGAACACGAGAAAUUCUGCAUGAAUCCGCGGGGACCAUCCCGUAAGGCUAAAUACUACCGAGAGACCGAUAGCGAACCAGUACCGUGAGGGAAAGGUGAAAAGAACCUCGAACAGAGGAGUGAAAUAGACCCUGAAAUCAUGUGCCUACAAGCGGUUGGAGCCACUGCGUGUGGUGACAGCGUGCCUUUUGCAUAAUGAUCCUACGAGUUGCCGUCCGGGGCAAGGUUAAGGCACAGGAGUGCCGGAGCCGAAGCGAAAGCGAGUCAGAAUAUGGCGCUGAGUCGCGGGCGGCAGACGCGAAACCAAGUGAUCUACCCUUGGUCAGGUUGAAGGACAGGUAACACUGUCUGGAGGACCGCACCGGUAAGCGUUGAAAAGCUUUCGGAUGAACUGAGGGUAGGAGUGAAAGGCCAAUCAAACUUGGAGAUAGCUCGUACUCCCCGAAAUGCAUUUAGGUGCAGCCUCGGGCGCAGUACCGUGGAGGUAGAGCGACUGAUAGGAUGCGAGGGCUUCACCGCCUAUCAAGUCCUGACAAACUCCGAAUGCCACGGCACGAUCCCCGGGAGUGAGGGCGCGGGUGCUAAGGUCCGCGUCCGAAAGAGGAACAACUCAGACCACCGUCUAAGGCCCCCAAAUACGGGCUAAGUUGAAGACAAUAACGAGGUGGGAUUGCAUAGACAGCUAGGAUGUUGGCUUGGAAGCAGCCAUUCAUUUAAAGAGUGCGUAACAGCUCACUAGUCGAGUGAUCCCGCAUGGAUAAUAAUCGGGCAUAAGUCCGUUGCCGAAGGCGUGGAAUCAUGCUUAGUGCAUGAUUGGUAGGGGAGCAUUCCGGCAGCCGCAGAAGGUGAGGCGCGAGCCUUGCUGGAGGGACCGGAAAAGCAAAUGUAGGAAUAAGUAACGACAAGGAGGGCGAGAAACCCUCCCGCCGUAAGACCAAGGGUUCCUGAUCAACGCUAAUCGGAUCAGGGUAAGUCGGGACCUAAGGGGCAGCCGCGAGGCGCACCCGAUGGACAAACAGUAAAGAUUCUGUUACCCGGCGGCGGAGCGAUGCGGAGACGGAGAAGUGACACAGCCGCGCACUGACGGAAUAGUGCGUUAAACCGCGUAGGUAAUGGAGGGGCAGGCAAAUCCACCCCUUCAGCUGAAACGGGACAGUACCGCAAUCCCUACGGGGAGCGCGGACAGCGCUGGUAAUCAGGCUCCCGAGAAAAUCCGCUAAGCAUAUGCGUCGUCGGCCCGUACCGUAAACCGACACAGGUGGUCGGGUAGAAUAUACCAAGGCGCUCGAGAGAUUCACGGUUAAGGAACUAGGCAAACUGACCCCGUAACUUCGGAAUAAGGGGUCCCCUCCUCCGGGAGGGCGCAGAGAAUAGGUCCAGGCAACUGUUUAACAAAAACACAGGGCUAUGCAAAAUUUAAAGAUGAAGUAUAUAGCCUGACACCUGCCCGGUGCCGGAAGGUUAAGAGGAGACGUCAUCGCAAGAGAAGCGUUGAAUUGAAGCCCCGGUAAACGGCGGCCGUAACUAUAACGGUCCUAAGGUAGCGAAAUUCCUUGUCGGGUAAGUUCCGACCUGCACGAAUGGUGUAAUGAUCCGGACACUGUCUCAACCGUGAGCUCGGUGAAAUUGUAGUAUCGGUGAAGAUGCCGAUUACCCGCAACGGGACGAAAAGACCCCGUGAACCUUUACUGCAGCUUAGCACUGUGACCGGGUGUGUGAUGUGUAGGAUAGUCAGGAGACAGCGAAACGGUGACGCCAGUCAUCGCGGAGUCGACGUUGAAAUACUGACCUUCGCACAUUUGGUUUCUAACACUCAGAGAGUGGACACUGCUUGGUGGGUAGUUUGACUGGGGUGGUCGCCUCCAAAAGAGUAACGGAGGCUUCUAAAGGUGCGCUCAGGCCGAUUGGUAACCGGCCGCAGAGUGUAAUGGCACAAGCGCGCUUGACUGGGAGGCCGACAAGCCGAACAGGUAGGAAACUAGAGCAUAGUGAUCCGGUGGUUCCGCAU
rnacentral:rRNA from 1 species